rnacentral:rRNA from 1 species
UUAAGUUAGAAAGGGCGCACGGUGGAUGCCUUGACACUAGGAGUCGAUGAAGGACGGGACUAACGCCGAUAUGCUUCGGGGAGCUGUAAGUAAGCUUUGAUCCGAAGAUUUCCGAAUGGGGAAACCCACCAUACGUAAUGGUAUGGUAUCCUUAUCUGAAUACAUAGGGUAAGGAAGACAGACCCAGGGAACUGAAACAUCUAAGUACCUGGAGGAAGAGAAAGCAAAUGCGAUUUCCUGAGUAGCGGCGAGCGAAACGGAACAUAGCCCAAACCAAGAGGCUUGCCUCUUGGGGUUGUAGGACAUUCUAUACGGAGUUACAAAGGAACGAGGUAGACGAAGCGACCUGGAAAGGUCCGUCGUAGAGGGUAACAACCCCGUAGUCGAAACUUCGUUCUCUCUUGAAUGUAUCCUGAGUACGGCGGAACACGUGAAAUUCCGUCGGAAUCUGGGAGGACCAUCUCCCAAGGCUAAAUACUCCCUAGUGAUCGAUAGUGAACCAGUACCGUGAGGGAAAGGUGAAAAGCACCCCGGAAGGGGAGUGAAAGAGAUCCUGAAACCGUGUGCCUACAAAUAGUCAGAGCCCGUUAACGGGUGAUGGCGUGCCUUUUGUAGAAUGAACCGGCGAGUUACGAUCCCGUGCGAGGUUAAGCUGAAGAGGCGGAGCCGCAGCGAAAGCGAGUCUGAAUAGGGCGUUUAGUACGUGGUCGUAGACCCGAAACCAGGUGAUCUACCCAUGUCCAGGGUGAAGUUCAGGUAACACUGAAUGGAGGCCCGAACCCACGCACGUUGAAAAGUGCGGGGAUGAGGUGUGGGUAGCGGAGAAAUUCCAAUCGAACCUGGAGAUAGCUGGUUCUCCCCGAAAUAGCUUUAGGGCUAGCCUUAAGUGUAAGAGUCUUGGAGGUAGAGCACUGAUUGGACUAGGGGUCCUCAUCGGAUUACCGAAUUCAGUCAAACUCCGAAUGCCAAUGACUUAUCCUUAGGAGUCAGACUGCGAGUGAUAAGAUCCGUAGUCAAAAGGGAAACAGCCCAGACCGCCAGCUAAGGUCCCAAAGUGUGUAUUAAGUGGAAAAGGAUGUGGAGUUGCUUAGACAACUAGGAUGUUGGCUUAGAAGCAGCCACCAUUUAAAGAGUGCGUAAUAGCUCACUAGUCGAGUGACUCUGCGCCGAAAAUGUACCGGGGCUAAAUACACCACCGAAGCUGCGGAUUGAUACCAAUGGUAUCAGUGGUAGGGGAGCGUUCUAAGGACAGUGAAGUCAGACCGGAAGGACUGGUGGAGUGCUUAGAAGUGAGAAUGCCGGUAUGAGUAGCGAAAGACGGGUGAGAAUCCCGUCCACCGAAUGCCUAAGGUUUCCUGAGGAAGGCUCGUCCGCUCAGGGUUAGUCAGGACCUAAGCCGAGGCCGACAGGCGUAGGCGAUGGACAACAGGUUGAUAUUCCUGUACCACCUCUUUAUCGUUUGAGCAAUGGAGGGACGCAGAAGGAUAGAAGAAGCGUGCGAUUGGUUGUGCACGUCCAAGCAGUUAGGCUGAUAAGUAGGCAAAUCCGCUUAUCGUAAAGGCUGAGCUGUGAUGGGGAAGCUCCUUAUGGAGCGAAGUCUUUGAUUCCCCGCUGCCAAGAAAAGCUUCUAGCGAGAUAAAAGGUGCCUGUACCGCAAACCGACACAGGUAGGCGAGGAGAGAAUCCUAAGGUGUGCGAGAGAACUCUGGUUAAGGAACUCGGCAAAAUGACCCCGUAACUUCGGGAGAAGGGGUGCUUUCUUAACGGAAAGCCGCAGUGAAUAGGCCCAAGCGACUGUUUAGCAAAAACACAGCUCUCUGCGAAGCCGUAAGGCGAAGUAUAGGGGGUGACACCUGCCCGGUGCUGGAAGGUUAAGGAGAGGGGUUAGCGUAAGCGAAGCUCUGAACUGAAGCCCCAGUAAACGGCGGCCGUAACUAUAACGGUCCUAAGGUAGCGAAAUUCCUUGUCGGGUAAGUUCCGACCC